GGUGGUCUGCAUAUUUAACAUGAUUUUUCAAUUACUGCAGAGGUGUGUUUCAUCACCCAAAGUGAAAAAUCAAUGCCCAAUGCUGAAGCAGCUGCAGAAGUGAUGGGUACUACACAUUUCUACAGAUGAGCUUGUAGUCUGCAAACAGCUUAUGGCACUUCACUGUCAUGUUCCUAAUAACUUUGAGACUUUAUUUGGCCAAAGCUCUGACUGUUUUGGUGCUUUUAACAUCCUGGGGUAUAGGAACUUCCCCUGGUAUUCAAUUUUUAUAUAAUAGUGACAGUAUUAUUUUUUGUUUAGGGACAGAAGCAAGUUUCAAGCUGAAUCACAUUGUGCCUAAUCAAGUUUGUGGGAACCCCUUCUCCUUGUACCUGUUUUCAAGCAUGGCUUUAAAAUAGAGAAAGGCCAAUGGGCAGUCCUUGUUACAGGAGCCAGUGGCAUUAAAAUCUAAAUCUGAGUCAGCCAGGAAGAGGUGCGUACAGCAAAACUUCUACAAGACCUAUCAUUCAGAUUACCUUCCUGGCCUGUUGGAAGACAUACAGCACAGAAGGAUGAGAGAAAAGAAGGAGGCAUCAUAAAAUCAGAGAAGACAAUGGAAGGUGCACAAGAAUUAUGCUGAAGACGAGUGCCAACAUGUGAAAAGGAAAGCUAAAAUAGCAUUUUGACAAAAUGGCUGGUGUUACAGCUUUUCAGCCAAAAAGACUUGUGGCCAAUAAUUAAAACACACUAAAUCAGCACAAACAUGGAAGUCAUGAGGAGAGAGCGAGGCACCUUUCCAUGGCACAGCAGAAAUCUGGAAGUGAGCAAAAGGGAACGUUUGUCUGGUUUCCCUCCCCUACCCCACAGGUAUGUUUUAUCUUGUGCAGUUCUGCUAAGAAA